AGCGCGCCUGCUUUGGGAGCAGGAUGUCGGGGGUUCGAAUCCCUCCAUCCCGACCA
rnacentral:tRNA from 1 species